UCUCCAUUUUCUUGGUGGGGUUCGGGCAUACAGUCCCGGCACCUGUAAUGUAUGGAGGUAGAGGGAAAGGGCUCUGGCCCCUCGGCAACAUGUCUUCGGUACCCGCGGUUUCCAGUCCAUUAGUACCAUACUCAAGCGCCAGGACACAG
rnacentral:snoRNA from 1 species